ACAUACACCGGUGUAGCGUUACAAUCUGUUCAAACUCUAAGCAAAGAUUGAACGAAUUGCCUCCCUUCGUACUCCUACUGUAGAAUACAGUUCAUUGCCCUACUUUCAGAAAACCCAACCCUGCCUCUCCCAGGACAGUGUCUGGACUAUGGUGGAUGUGUUCGAUGUGAUUGUGGUAGGAGGCGGCAUUGUCGGAUGUGCCGUUAUCUGGGAAAUGACGUCAUAUGGUUACAAAUGUCUCCUGCUGGAGAAAAACGAAAAUCUAGUAUCAGAGGCUAGUUCUGGAAACAGCGGUAUGCUUCAUACGGGAUUUGAUGCAGUUGCCGACACGUUAGAGCUACAGUGUAUUCAACACACUUUUCCCAAAAUGUUUGGUGUUUUGGAAGGAUUCGGAUUGCCGUACAACAAAACUGGAGCAACUAUGGUCGCUUGGACCCAAGAGCAGGCACAAAUCAUUCCAACCAUCGCGCAGAGAUGUAGGGCGGCCGGGGUUUCAUUCUGUACGGAGAUCAGCUUGUCUGAGUUGUACAGCAGAGAACCCGGACUCCGGAAGCAGGCCCAGGGGGCGCUAUGGAUUCCCGGGGAGACGGUCGUUGACCCCUGGCUAACGGCGAUCUCAUUGGCCCACGAUGCCAAGAAGAAAGGAGCCAUGAUAAAAACAAACGCCGUUGUGCAAAACAUAUCUAGAACAGAAUGUGAGAGGCAGAGGAUACAAGUUAUGACAUCACUUGGACAGUUUACCGGACGUGUCGUAAUCAACUGUGGCGGCCUCUAUGGAGAUAUUGUAGAUAAACUGGCUGGACUGCAGCAUUUCAGAAUAUUCCCAAAGAAAGGACAGUAUGCAAUAUAUCCUCAAAAAGUAGGACAUCACAUUAAUUCCAGUAUUUUGCCGAUACCAACAUCAAAGGGAAAAGGAGAAAUCAUCUUCAAAACAGUUUACGGUAACGUUGUCGUGGGUCCAACGUUCGAGGACUCUGCCUCUAGGGCGCGCCCGGAGAGUGACGCCGGUACCAUCCGACGCCUGGUGAGGCUCGGAGAGUCCUGUGUCCCGGGACUAGAGGGGUGCCCAAUUGUGAACACUUACACGGGGGUACGGCCCGCCACAGAGACCAAGGAUUACCACAUCGACUCCUACCCAGAAAGCUGUUGGAUAACUGUGGGAGGCAUUCGGUCCACAGGACUCUCCGGAAGUCUAGGAAUCGCAGACAACGUCAGGCGCCUGGUCCUCCACCAGCACGCACUGGAGCCGUCAGGACCCCGGAGGACGGGACUGGAGAGGAUGGACAUUAAGUUUGUUCCGCCCUGUCACGCUCGCAUCGAUGAUGUGUUGUACACAGUGACACACCCGAUUACACUGAACGGCGUUUGGAAGUCGCGGGAUUCACGUCUUUAGGAAACUUAAAAAAAAAACAACCCAGCAAUAUUUGUAAAUUUUCACUUCCCAGUUUGGAGGGCGUGUUAGACUUCCCCAUCACACCUUGAUAGAAGAUAAAAAAACGAUAGCACUGAGCUAGCCAAACAAGGGAAAAAUUAUGACAUUCUAUUAGGGAUUUCAAAUCCUUAAUAUUUCGGUUUCAAUCUAUUGCGUUAUAAUUUAAAGAAAUCGUGCAAGAGCAAAAUUUUCAACUAUUGACAAUUUAAGAAUUAUACACAAGAAGAAAAUGUGGAUAAAAGGGCAGACAAGUUCAAAAAUAUUCUUCUUCCGAUGUUCGGGGACAUGAAAACAAAGCAUGUUAAAAUCUUAUUCAACAAUGUACAACAAAAGAUAUUCAUUUGAUGUACACAAGGUUGGACGCAAAUUAAAAUGCAUAAUGUAAUGUUUUGUUAAAGGAGCACGGUUCUUGAUAUUUAAUAACCACGGCAAUUACUGAAAAAAAUUAUUAUCCUGUAAUGAUUUUAAAACAUGCUAUGAUAUAUACAAAAUCUAUCACUUGAUCGGAAGGUGCACCAAAUAUGGAUCAAAAUAGUGAGUUUUCUAAAAUCUUUGUAAAUCAUAGCUCAUAACAGGACGUGAGUAUUUACUGCCAGAAUGUUACAAAGUCUUAAACAUUUAUUCAUAAAAGUGUUGUAUCAGAUAUCUAAGUACCAGUUCAGAAUUCCCUCUGCAAUACAGUUUAACAUACUGAUAACACUUACAUCUAGCUUAAAAUCAACAAUGAAGUUUCUUCACACAGAGAAAAUAAAGAGUUUCGUACUUAAAGCAUUUCAUUACAAUAUGUAAACAUGAAACAAACUUUAACUAACUACUCUAAUAAAUUAACUUAUUACAUGUAUGUAUGCUCAUUGUAUUGUAAAACGCUGUUGUUAAUCUUACACUGUAC